CCUACGGGAGGCAGCAGUGGGGAAUCUUGCGCAGUGGGCGAAAGCCUGACGCAGCAACGCCGCGUGCGGGAAGAAGGCCCUAGGGUUGUAAACCGCUUUCAGUAGGAACGAAAAUGACGGUACCUGCAGAAGAAGGUGCGGCCAACUACGUGCCAGCAGCCGCGGUGACACGUAGGCACCAAGCGUUGUCCGGAUUUAUUGGGCGUAAAGAGCUCGUAGGCGGUUCAGUAAGUCGGGUGUGAAAACUCUGGGCUUAACCCAGAGCCGCCACUCGAUACUGCUGUGACUUGAGUUCGGUAGGGGAGCAGGGAAUUCCUAGUGUAGCGGUGAAAUGCGCAGAUAUUAGGAGGAACACCGGUGGCGAAGGCGCUGCUCUGGGCCGAUACUGACGCUGAGGAGCGAAAGCGUGGGUAGCAAACAGGAUUAGAUACCCUGGUAGUCCACGCCGUAAACGUUGGGCACUAGGUGUGGGUUCCAACCGAACGGAAUCCGCGCCGUCGCUAACGCAUUAAGUGCCCCGCCUGGGGAGUACGGCGGCAACGCUAAAACUCAAAUGAUUGACGG
rnacentral:rRNA from 1 species